UUAAAUAGCCGAUGGGAGGAAUUUUGCAGGUGUAGUUAAACUCUCAUCAGUUAGCUUUGAGUUAAGCAAAAGGGAGAUUUUUCUGGGUGGGCCAACCUAAUCAGAUGGGAGCCCUUUAAAAGAGGAGCUAGGCUCUCCCUGAAGUCAGAGAUUCAUGCUCAGCUUGUACUCUUGGGGUUCCAGCCUGCUCUGACAGUCCCUUCCCAUCUGCCUGCCUGUGGACUCAAUUUCAGCUCAUGCUCAUGCGGUCCAGCCUGUUUGUGACCUUCUCUUCUUGAUCGAUGGUCCUGUGGGCUUCAGGCUUCUUCGCUGGUGCCCAUAAGUGUCCCCCAUGAGUAUGCCACUGGCCCCUGCUCCACCACUGCCUGUUGGAGUGUUCUUGAGCAAGUCACUGCCCUUUUCAGCCUCAGAAUCCUCAGCUCCACAAUGGAAAUACUCCCACGCGCCUUGUUCAAUGUGUGGUGUUGCUAUAGAGUCGAGUCGUAGGAAACCACUGGUAAGGAAGAUUGGUCCAGAGCUAACAUCCGUGCCCAUCUUCCUCUGUUUAAUAUGUGGGAUGCCUGCCACAGCAUGGCUUGAUGAGUGCUUGUGCAGAUCCAAAUGCUGCAGAAGGGAAGGAUGCUACCGUACUAAAGGGCUGAUUGAGUUUGUGCUGUGCAGUAAUGAGAGCUGGGAUCCUGCUACAACAGCAAUUAGCAUCGCUGACCUGUGAGGAAGAACAAGCCCAGAGAAAACAGGCUUGGAGUGAAAUCAGUGCGGGCUCAGUCAUCAACUCUAUUCGCCCAGAUCUCUGGAGAGAGUGUGUACAGGCAAUUAAUGAAUCCCUGAGAAUCUCCUU
rnacentral:lncRNA from 1 species